GAAUAAGCGAUGAUAAGGACAUGAAUUUUUCUUACCGGUUUACAGAGAGGGAAGGAUGCUGAGAUCUUCCUAACGCUGCAGGAAAGUUUACCGCCUUUGAGCUGUGUUGGUGAAAUGAUAGUAAUCAAUGCCGUAGAUGCUACGUUACAGCACCAUAAGCUAUUACUUUUAUACAAGUAAUAGGAAAUUGGGUGGAACCACGAUGCAAACGCACUCGUCCCUUUU
rnacentral:ncRNA from 1 species